rnacentral:rRNA from 2 species
GGAGGAAAAGAAACCAACAGGGAUUCCCCUAGUAACGGCGAGUGAAGCGGGAACAGCUCAAAUUUGAAAUCUGGCCCUUGGGUCCGAGUUGUAAUUUGCAGAGGAUGCUUUUGGUGCGGUGCCUUCCGAGUUCCCUGGAACGGGACGCCUUAGAGGGUGAGAGCCCCGUACGGUUGGACACCAAGCCUAUGUAAAGCUCCUUCGACGAGUCGAGUAGUUUGGGAAUGCUGCUCAAAAUGGGAGGUAUAUUUCUUCUAAAGCUAAAUAUUGGCCAGAGACCGAUAGCGCACAAGUAGAGUGAUCGAAAGAUGAAAAGCACUUUGAAAAGAGGGUUAAAUAGCACGUGAAAUUGUUGAAAGGGAAGGAUUUAUGACCAGACUUUUUCUAGGGGGAUCAUCCGGUGUUCUCACCGGUGCACUUCCCCUAGUUGAGGCCAGCAUCGGUUUCUGUCGAGGGAUAAAAGCUUUAGGAAUGUGGCUCCCUCCGGGGAGUGUUAUAGCCUGUUGCAUAAUACCUUGACGGGGACCGAGGUUCGCGCAUUGCAAGGAUGCUGGCGUAAUGGUUAUUAAUCACCCGUCUUGAAACACGGACCAAGGAGUCGAACAUUUGUGCGAGUGUUUGGGUGUUAAACCCUCACGCGUAAUGAAAGUGAACGGAGGUGAGAGCCUUUAGGGGUGCAUCAUCGACCGAUCCUGAUGUCUUCGGAUGGAUUUGAGUAAGAGCAUAACUGUUCGGACCCGAAAGAUGGUGAACUAUGCGUGGAUAGGGUGAAGCCAGAGGAAACUCUGGUGGAGGCUCGCAGCGGUUCUGACGUGCAAAUCGAUCGUCAAAUCUGCGCAUGGGGGCGAAAGACUAAUCGAACCAUUGACCAGCGGUCAAAACAAUCACUAGGUGGUUAAGAGGGGGUCCGCGAGGACCAUUUGAAAAACCUAGGCUGAGCCCGGUUACCCUGUAGCUACCCUGUAGCUUACCUGGUACCGG